rnacentral:rRNA from 1 species
CCUACGGGUGGCAGCAGUGGGGAAUAUUGGACAAUGGGGGAAACCCUGAUCCAGCGACGCCGCGUGAGUGAAGAAGUAUUUCGGUACGUAAAGCGCUAUCAGCAGGAAAGAAAAUGACGGUACCUGACUAAGAAGCCCCGGCUAACUACGUGCCAGCAGCCGCGGUAAUCCGUAGGGGGCAAGCGGUAUCCGGAUUUACUGGGUGUAAAGGGAGCGUAGACGGCAGCACAAGUCUGGAGUGAAAUCCCGGGGCUUAACCCCGGAACUGCUUUGGAAACUGUGCGGCUGGAGUGCAGGAGGGGUAAGCGGAAUUCCUAGUGUAGCGGUGAAAUGCGUAGAUAUUAGGAGGAACACCGGUGGCGAAGGCGGCUUACUGGACUGUAACUGACGUUGAGGCUCGAAAGCGUGGGUAUCGAACAGGAUUAGAUACCCCAGUAGUC